CCUACGGGAGGCAGCAGUAGGGAAUCUUCCGCAAUGGACGAAAGUCUGACGGAGCAACGCCGCGUGAACGAUGAAGGCCUUCGGGUCGUAAAGUUCUGUUGUUAGGGAAGAACAAGUGCUAGUUGAAUAAGCUGGCACCUUGACGGUACCUAACCAGAAAGUCACGGCUAACUACGUGCCAGCAGCCGCGGUAAUACGUAGGUGGCAAGCGUUGUCCGGAAUUAUUGGGCGUAAAGCGCGCGCAGGCGGUUUCUUAAGUCUGAUGUGAAAGCCCCCGGCUCAACCGGGGAGGGUCAUUGGAAACUGGGAAACUUGAGUGCAGAAGAGGAAAGUGGAAUUCCAAGUGUAGCGGUGAAAUGCGUAGAGAUUUGGAGGAACACCAGUGGCGAAGGCGACUUUCUGGUCUGUAACUGACGCUGAGGCGCGAAAGCGUGGGGAGCAAACAGGAUUAGAUACCCUGGUAGUCCACGCUGUAAACGAUGAGUGCUAAGUGUUAGAGGGUUUCCGCCCUUUAGUGCUGAAGUUAACGCAUUAAGCACUCCGCCUGGGGAUACGGUCGCAAGACUGAAACUCAAAUGAAUUGACGG
rnacentral:rRNA from 1 species